UGCUCUGUGGCUAAGUUGGUUACGGCGUCCGACUGUUAAAUCCCACAUUCCAUCAAUCGGAAGAUCGUGAGUUCGACCCUCACCGGAGCAG